rnacentral:rRNA from 1 species
CCUACGGGUGGCAGCAGUGGGGAAUAUUGGGCAAUGGGCGCAAGCCUGACCCAGCAACGCCGCGUGAAGGAAGAAGGCUUUCGGGUUGUAAACUUCUUUUGUCAGGGAAGAGUAGAAGACGGUACCUGACGAAUAAGCCACGGCUAACUACGUGCCAGCAGCCGCGGUAAUACGUAGGUGGCAAGCGUUGUCCGGCUUUACUGGGUGUAAAGGUCGGGUAGCCGGGUUGAAAAGUCAGAUGUGAAAUCCUGCGGCUUAACCGCAGAACUGCAUUUGAAACUGUUGAUCUUGAGUACUGGAGAGGCAGACGGAAUUCGUGGUGUAGCGGUGAAAUGUGUAGAUAUUAGGAGGAACACCAGUGGCGAAGGCGGUCUGCUGGACAGCAACUGACGGUGAGGCGCGAAAGCGUGGGGAGCAAACAGGAUUAGAUACCCCAGUAGUC